CACAGAUAUUUACUUUUUUGGGGGAUAUUUGUUUAAAUGAAACAUCUGUGGUUAGAAGGUCCAUGUUAUUGCUUGUGUCCUCAGCAAGAGGUCACAAUAUUGACCAGCCCCAAAAAACUUUAAAAAACUCUAUAACUGUGAAAACAUAUACACUCACCGGCCACUUUAUUAGGUACACCAUGCUAGUAACGGGUUGGACCCCCUUUUGCCUUCAGAACUGCCUCAAUUCUUCGUGGCAUAGAUUCAACAAGGUGCUGGAAGCAUUCCUCAGAGAACUUGGUCCAUAUUGACAUGAUGGCAUCACACAGUUGCCGCAGAUUUGUCGGCUGCACAUCCAUGAUGCGAAUCUCCCGUUCCACCACAUCCCAAAGAUGCUCUAUUGGAUUGAGAUCUGGUGACUGUGGAGGCCAUUUGAGUACAGUGAACUCAUUGUCAUGUUCAAGAAACCAGUCUGAGAUGAUUCCAGCUUUAUGACAUGGCGCAUUAUCCUGCUGAAAGUAGCCAUCAGAAGUUGGGUACAUUGUGGUCAUAAAGGGAUGGACAUGGUCAGCAACAAUACUCAGGUAGGCUGUGGCGUUGCAACGAUGAUCAAUUGGUACCAAGGGGCCCAAAGAGUGCCAAGAAAAUAUUCCCCACACCAUGACACCACCACCACCAGCCUGAACCGUUGAUACAAGGCAGGAUGGAUCCAUGCUUUCAUGUUGUUGACGCCAAAUUCUGACCCUACCAUCCGAAUGUCGCAGCAGAAAUCGAGACUCAUCAGACCAGGCAACGUUUUUCCAAUCUUCUAUUGUCCAAUUUCAAUGAGCUUGUGCAAAUUGUAGCCUCAGUUUCCUGUUCUUAGCUGAAAGGAGUGGCACCCGGCGUGGUCUUCUGCUGCUGUAGCCCAUCUGCCUCAAAGUUCGACGUACUGUGCGUUCAGAGAUGCUCUUCUGCCUACCUUGGUUGAAACGGGUGGUUAUUUGAGUCACUGUUGCCUUUCUAUCAGCUCGAACCAGUCUGGCCAUUCUCCUCUGACCUCUGGCAUCAACAAGGCAUUUCCGCCCACAGAACUGCCGCUCACUGGAUAUUUUUUCUUUUUCGGACCAUUCUCUGUAAAUCCUAGAGAUGGUUGUGCGUGAAAAUCCCAGUAGAUCAGCAGUUUCUGAAAUACUCAGACCAGCCCUUCUGGCACCAACAACCAUGCCACGUUCAAAGUCACUCAAAUCACCUUUCUUCCCCAUACUGAUGCUCGGUUUGAACUGCAGGAGAUUGUCUUGACCAUGUCUACAUGCCUAAAUGCACUAAGUUGCCGCCAUGUGAUUGGCUGAUUAGAAAUUAAGUGUUAACGAGCAGUUGGACAGGUGUACCUAAUAAGGUGGCCGGUGAGUGUACAUCAAAUAAAAAUUCAGGGCUAUAAAUAUAUUAACAAUGAAUGGCCUGAACAUCAAAUAGCUUUUUGCCUAAAAAUCUGCCUAUCAAAGUUGUGUCCUCAGUUUCUGUCAACUCCAUCAGAUUAUUCUAUAAACCUCAUUAAAUCAUGCAAUAUCAUGGUCAGCUAUAUCCCUGAGGACCCCUUAUCAUUUCCUGCUUCUGGUGAAUGCAACACCACCACACAUGGUGUGGUAGGUUUUACAGUUUUUGAUAUUUUAGACAAACAAUGUCAAUAUUUGUAUGGUCACAGCUGGACCAUGUCAACACCGUCUCUCCAUUAUUAUACAUUUUUUUAAACUAUAGUGAGUUCAAUUAAAGUAUUUUGGUGAUAUUAUCAGGACAGCUAGCAACUGCCUAAAAAGUAGCUAGCUGCACUGUACAAUAAAUGUUUUGGAGGGAAAAUACAUGCCCUUAUGUCAACUCCGUCAGACGUCAACUCUAAGCUGAUGGAGUUGACAAAUCCACCUAUAACCUCUUAAUGUGCUGACAUUAUGCUAUUUUUGAACAUGGUUAAGGAUAACAAUGUUAUUCCAGGGUCUUAUCUGCACAUAAAAGUACAUAUAUAGCAUGUAUUUUACCAUAUACUUCUGUUUUGUAGAGUAGACCAUGGGCAGGCUGUCUGCUUAAUUAUAACUGUCAAACUUUCCCAACACACACACACACACACACACACACCUAAUCUCAUUGAUUGAUUGAUUAAUGUACAAUCCUAAAGGUGCAGUAUGUAAUUUUCACUACUUAAAAUCUACACACUGGCUUCUUAUAGAGUGCGCAAGAAGUUCUAUGUUGCUCUUUUAAACCCCAGUGUAGGUGGGAUACCAGAUAGAAGAAAAAGGUUAUUAUUUUUACAUUGUUAACUUGGACCCUCAGACCUUGGGCUCUAUUUUUGUGUCCACCGGCGACAUGGCGGAGGGUGGCGAACCCCGCGCAGUGGCAUUUUUGUCUGGCGGAGCUCAGCGUACAGCCAGUUUGGUAUUUUCGUGGACUGAGGUGCACCGAGGUCCGCCAAGCUGGGCGUGGAUGUGUGGCAGGGUGAGAUGUCCACAGAAUCAGCUGGUGCAGUGACAUUUUCGUACUUGUUGCCGGCGUGCAAAGUGCGCUGAAAGCUCGCAGAUUCAAACCUGGUCAGCUUUCAGCGCAGGUUGAUCCAGAUGGGCUAGUGGUAUUUUGGGCGACCGGCGGCAUAUCGGCCUCACCAGCAGGUUUCCACAGUGUCAGGAACAUUUCCGUGCAAUAAAUAAUCAAAAACAACUAAUAAUCUGUGUCAGCACAUACAUUUAGAUCUAUAUCGAUAUAUUCUGAUCUAUAUCUGAUCUGAUGAGCGCAUUUGGCAUGCGUUUGGACACUCAACCUGACCAAAUUAACACAGCUGCUGAAUCCGCAUGAAAUUGAAUCAAAUAUCUAGUAAAUAAACACACAUGAUGAAGUUAAUAAGAUAUUUAAUUUGUCUGCCCCCAUUUCUAGCUUCCUCUUCCUCUUAUUUCUCACGCAGCUCAACCUGGACAUGUCUCCGUGUCCUCUACCCGUCCUGCUGCAGCUGCUGCUGCGGCAGCUGAACAGAUGAUUUGUUCCAGUGAUCAGAUGAGUUUUUUACUUUAAGCCUACCUACAAAUAUUAUAAUAAUCAGUUUUGUGAGCCAAAUUUAUUUUAUAUGCCAACAUCUAUGAAAGAAAGAGCCAGGCCACGGAGCGCGAUUUACACACAGAUUGGUUCCGAUUUUAAUGCCAUUAUUGGAAUUUAUGUUGUGACCUUUGCGCACAACCCACCUUUGUCACGUGAGGUUUAAAUAUAUGCAAUUUAAUGUGAUUGUCUUUAUUUGUGGAAAAGGGUGUUUGUCUUACCAGUGGGUCCAACAUUACACACACCAAAUCCAUCUGUGCUUAUAUGAGACAGUGCGGAGGACGCCCAAUGCAGCGCUUACAGUGACACUUGUUGAGGAGCUGCCUUUUGUCGCCAUCGUGUGGCAUUGCUGUCUUCAGACAUCUCUUGAUCUCUUUGACUACUUCACGAAAUUGGUAAUACGCCUCGCUAGUGGCGGAUUCAAAGGCGAGAAGAGCUGAUGUUAUUGGUCAAUACAGGUCUCGGCUGUGUUAAACCCACUCAACGCCCUCUCUCCUCCCUCCCUAUGACCUACGCCGCAGGAAGGAGCUGAGUUAGGGGAGGGGGGAUACUUAUGCCGGGCUGCACAACUCACCAAAAUACGAAAAUGUGCUUGGAAACGCCUUGUCGGCGCGGUGGUUAAUUGCAUUAACGGUAUGUUCAGUAUGAAAACAAGGAGUUAUUAGUUCUUAAUCUAUUUUCACCUAUUGACCUAUUGUCAAUCGGUUUAAAAACACAUUUGUUCAAUAAUAUAUGCAAUGUCAUCAACUCCGUCAGUUUCUCGUCAACUCCGUCAGGUGUUCGUCAACACCGUCAGAUGUAUGUUUUUCUUCAAUUUUGGAGAAAAAAAAAUUUGUUUCUUCAGUUUAUAUUGUUUAAGUAAUAAAGGAGCAUUGGCUCUACAUCCUCUUGUGUCUUAUUUACUUACAGAAAUUGUUUUUAUAAUAUAAAAAUUAAAAACAAAGUUUGAAAAUGCAACUAUUUAGAAAUCUUGGUUUUCAAAAUAGUGUGAAAUCACACAUUAGGUUUAUAUAUUAUAUUUCAUGGCAUAUCAGAGUAACUAAACACUAUUACAACAUACAUCAGAACUUUAGAUUCUUGUUGGACUAGAAUUAUUAAAAUUAUUUUCUUUUUUGUGUGUCUGAUGGAGUUGACACAAAUCCACUGUCUAAGGGAAACGUUAAUUUAUAGAAAAAAUGUUUUUAUUUAGAGCCUGUUCCUUUACGGGGUUAAAUAGCUAAGACCUUUCUCUACAGUAAUAAAUAACUCUAAUCAAUAUAGUGUGCAUUCUCAAAAAAAGUUUUUUAGGAAGUGUUUUGUCCCGA